rnacentral:lncRNA from 1 species
AUGGAAGAGACACUGGAGAAAGAGAUCCCGCCAUCUGAAGUAAAAGAUUCUGAUGAAGGUGGAAUUCGGCUGCGACUGAGAGACAGAGACCUGUUGAAGAAACGAAAGGCUGAGGCAGAGGAAAAGGCAACCAACCAGUGGGUUUAUGGGGCACAAAGCCUUAAGAGAGUGAAAAAGAUGACCAGUGGUACCCCAGGAAGGAAAGGUCGACCAAGAAAAGAACCGGCUGUAGUUAUUCCAGAAGAUCUCGGUCUGGCUCAGGAAACAGAUCCUACUCCUGUCACACUUCCUGUCCCAGAACCUGUGUUACCCACAAUAGCAGAGACAGUGCCUUUAGUACCAGCUGAGCCACAACCAGAGCCGGCGCCAGUGGAAACAAUUAGUGAAAAACCUCUGGAGUUUCUGAUUGAGGAUCUGGGGCCUGAUGAGGAGGAAGACAUGCCUCAAAAAAGCCUUAUCAUUGAUACAGGUGAUGACGAGCAGCCCAGGACUGACCUGAACAGUCAAGUCUCAGUGCCAGUGUAUCCGCCAGCAUCUGCUCCUUCUCAACCAGAGUCUAUCUGA